rnacentral:rRNA from 1 species
GCUGGCGGCGUGCUUAACACAUGCAAGUCGAACGGAAAGGCCCUGCUUUUGUGGGGUGCUCGAGUGGCGAACGGGUGAGUAACACGUGAGUAACCUGCCCUUGACUUUGGGAUAACUUCAGGAAACUGGGGCUAAUACCGGAUAGGAGCUCCUGCUGCAUGGUGGGGGUUGGAAAGUUUCGGCGGUUGGGGAUGGACUCGCGGCUUAUCAGCUUGUUGGUGGGGUAGUGGCUUACCAAGGCUUUGACGGGUAGCCGGCCUGAGAGGGUGACCGGCCACAUUGGGACUGAGAUACGGCCCAGACUCCUACGGGAGGCAGCAGUGGGGAAUAUUGCACAAUGGGCGGAAGCCUGAUGCAGCAACGCCGCGUGCGGGAUGACGGCCUUCGGGUUGUAAACCGCUUUCGCCUGUGACGAAGCGUGAGUGACGGUAAUGGGUAAAGAAGCACCGGCUAACUACGUGCCAGCAGCCGCGGUGAUACGUAGGGUGCGAGCGUUGUCCGGAUUUAUUGGGCGUAAAGGGCUCGUAGGUGGUUGAUCGCGUCGGAAGUGUAAUCUUGGGGCUUAACCCUGAGCGUGCUUUCGAUACGGGUUGACUUGGGGAAGGUAGGGGAGAAUGGAAUUCCUGGUGGAGCGGUGGAAUGCGCAGAUAUCAGGAGGAACACCAGUGGCGAAGGCGGUUCUCUGGGCCUUUCCUGACGCUGAGGAGCGAAAGCGUGGGGAGCGAACAGGGUUAGAUUCCCUGGUAGUGCACGCUGUAAACGGUGGGUACUAGGUGUGGGGUUCAUUCCACGGGUUCCGUACCGUAGCUAACGCUUUAAAUACCCCGCCUGGGGAGUACGGCCGCAAGGCUAAAACUCAAAGGAAUUGACGGGGCCCCGCUCAAGCGGCGGAGCAUGCGGAUUAAUUCGAUGCAACGCGUAGAACCUUACCUGGGUUUGACAUGGAUCGGGAGUGCUCAGAGAUGGGUGUGCCUCUUUUGGGGUCGGUUCACAGGUGGUGCAUGGCUGUCGUCAGCUCGUGUCGUGAGAUGUUGGGUUAAGUCCCGCAACGAGCGCAACCCUUGUUCACUGUUGCCAGCACGUUAUGGUGGGGACUCAGUGGAGACCGCCGGGGUCAACUCGGAGGAAGGUGGGGAUGACGUCAAGUCAUCAUGCCCCUUAUGUCCAGGGCUUCACGCAUGCUACAAUGGCUGGUACAGAGAGUGGCGAGCCUGUGAGGGUGAGCGAAUCUCGGAAAGCCGGUCUCAGUUCGGAUUGGGGUUUGCAACUCGACCUCAUGAAGUCGGAGUCGGUAGUAAUCGCAGAUCAGCAACGCUGCGGUGAAUACGUUCCCGGGGCUUGUACACACCGCCCGUCAAGUCAUGAAAGUUGGUAACACCCGAAGCCGGUGGCCUAACCGUUGUGGGGGAGCCGUCGAAGGUGGGACUG